rnacentral:piRNA from 1 species
UGGUGGUACUGAAUUUUGAAAUCU